rnacentral:lncRNA from 1 species
CUUCUCUUUCCUAUAAAUAGCCCACUCGACUCUUCAACUUCUCAUAUCAUCCCCCCUUCCGCCAUGAGUGUUCAAGACAUCCUCGAGGAGUACGGUCGCGAAGUGCAGCUUCAGCACGCCGCCUGGGCCAUGUGCCUGAUGUCGCCCGCCGGUGUCCCUAACAGCGUGGCCGUGGCCGAGACUCAACGUCUCAACGCCGUGUUGAUCGACGUCCAUCGUCGCCUCUCCCAGGUUCGCCGCUCCGACCUUCUCACGGGCCAUCCUGCCGUCGCCUACCCCGGU